GCUAGUCGCACGGGUUUAGACCCGUGGCGAAAAGCUCAGUAACACGUGGCCAAACUACCCUAUAGAUCGGAAUAUCCUCGGGAAACUGAGGCCAAUGCCGAAUACCGCUCCUGCACUGGGAUGUGCGGAGCUCGAAACGCUCCGGCGCUAUAGGAUGUGGCUGCGGCCGAUUAGGUUGACGGUGGGGUAACGGCCCACCGUGCCCAUAAUCGGUACGGGUUGUGAGAGCAAGAGCCCGGAGACGGUAUCUGAGACAAGAUACCGGGCCCUACGGGGCGCAGCAGGCGCGAAAACUUUACACUGCACGAGAGUGCGAUAAGGGAACUCCGAGUGCGAGGGCAUAGAGCCCUCGCUUUUGUACACCGUAAGGUGGUGUACGAAUAAGGGCUGGGCAAGACCGGUGCCAGCCGCCGCGGUAAUACCGGCAGCCCAAGUGAUGGCCGAUAUUAUUGGGCCUAAAGCGUCCGUAGCUGGCCGGACAAGUCCGUUGGGAAAUCCGCGUGCUCAACGCGCGGGCGUCCAGCGGAAACUGUCCGGCUUGGGGCCGGAAGACCUGAGGGGUACGUCCGGGGUAGGAGUGAAAUCCUGUAAUCUCGGACGGACCGCCUGUGGCGAAAGCGCCUCAGGAAGACGGACCCGACAGUGAGGGACGAAAGCCAGGGUCUCGAACCGGAUUAGAUACCCGGGUAGUCCUGGCUGUAAACGAUGUCCGCUAGGUGUGGCGUA
rnacentral:rRNA from 1 species